UUCGUCACACUAUCAUUAACUGAAUCCAUAGGUUAAUGAGGCGAACCGGGGGAACUGAAACAUCUAAGUACCCCGAGGAAAAGAAAUCAACCGAGAUUCCCCCAGUAGCGGCGAGCGAACGGGGAGGAGCCCAGAGCCUGAAUCAGCAUGUGUGUUAGUGGAAGCGUCUGGAAAGGCGCGCGAUACAGGGUGACAGCCCCGUACACAAAAGCGCAUGUGCUGUGAGCUCGAUGAGUAGGGCGGGACACGUGGUAUCCUGUCUGAAUAUGGGGGGACCAUCCUCCAAGGCUAAAUACUCCUGACUGACCGAUAGUGAACCAGUACCGUGAGGGAAAGGCGAAAAGAACCCCGGCGAGGGGAGUGAAAAAGAACCUGAAACCGUGU
rnacentral:rRNA from 1 species